UUGUGGAGGAGGACGCCGAAGGUGGGGCUAAUGACUGGGGUGAAGUCGUAACAAGGUAGCCGUACCGGAAGGUGCGGCUGGAUCACCUCCUAACAGGGAGACAACAAAAUGUUUAAUAUUAUUAUUUUGUCACCUUAGGUCGAUCGGUAUCUCACAUUCUCGAUUUAUUGAGGAUUUCAUUUCCUAAGUUUUUCUAGGUCACACCCAUUAUUUUUCCUGGGCCAUUAGCUCAGGUGGUUAGAGCGCACCCCUGAUAAGGGUGAGGUCCCUGGUUCAAGUCCAGGAUGGCCCAUAUCUCUAUGUUGGGGGUAUAGCUCAGUUGGUAGAGCGCCUGCUUUGCAAGCAGGAUGUCAGCGGUUCGAGUCCGCUUACCUCCACUGAUCACCACCUCUUCCAUAAUUUAUAGAAGGGAAUUGUUUUGAGUUGUGAUCAAAUCUGAACGAAUCUAGCUUCCUAAUAAAAAUAUUAAGAUGCUGGACUCAUUGAAUUAAUUUCAUUGUUUUCAGAGAACCUUGACAACUGCAUAGAUUAUUUUUAAAGACAAUAAGCAUCUUUAAUGAUGCAGAUUUAUUAUUUGUGCGAAUGCAUUAAUAACAAUUCUAUUAAGCUGAUGCUUCAAUUUUGAAGUUAUUGGUCAAGCUACAA
rnacentral:misc_RNA from 1 species